AUGGUCAUAUAAAGUUGAAACACCAGUUCUCAUACAAUCACUGAAGUUAAGCAAUGUCAAGCCUAGUCAAUAUUGAGAUGGAUGACUGCUUGAGAAUACCAGGUGCUGUAAG